rnacentral:rRNA from 1 species
AAAGGAGGGGCAAUACCGAAUAUUGUCCGGAACCGUGAAGGGUUUCGGGGAAAGGGAGGCCUCUGACACAAGCUUUCGCCUUAAGAUGAGCCCAUGGCCCAUCAGCUAGUUGGUAGGGUAAAGGCCUACCAAGGCUACGACGGGUCGCUGGUCUGAGAGGACGACCAGCCACACUGGCACUGAGAUACGGGCCAGACUCCUACGGGAGGCAGCAGUGAGGAAUAUUGCGCAAUGGGGGAAACCCUGACGCAGCAACGCCGCGUGUGGGAAGAAGGCCUUCGGGUCGUAAACCACUUUUACUCGGGACGAAAAAGGGAUAUCAAACAAAUAUCCCCGAUGACGGUACCGUGAGAAUAAGCCACGGCUAACUCUGUGCCAGCAGCCGCGGUAAGACAGAGGUGGCAAGCGUUGUUCGGAAUUACUGGGCGUAAAGAGUCUGUAGGUGGUUUGUCAAGUCUUUGGUGAAAGGCCGUAGCUUAACUAUGGGAAUGCCAAAGAGACUGGCAGGCUGGAGGCUGGGAGAGGGAAGCGGAAUUUCUGGUGUAGCGGUGAAAUGCGUAGAUAUCAGAAGGAAGGCCGGUGGCGAAGGCGGCUUCCUGGAACAGUCCUGACACUGAGAGACGAAAGCGUGGGGAGCAACAGGAUUAGAUACCCUGGUAGUCCACGCCCUAAACGAUGGGUACUAAGUGUGGAGGGGUUAACCCUCCGUGCCGCAGCAAACGCAGUAAGUACCCCGCCUGGGGAGUACGGCCGCAAGGUUGAAACUCAAAGGAAUUGACGG